UGGAUCAGUUACAACACCCUGAACAGACCUGAUCUCAGAAGCUAAGCAGGGUUGGGCAUGGUUAGUACUUGGAUGGGAGACAUUUGCAAUAAUUUUUAUUAUUCUGA
rnacentral:rRNA from 1 species